rnacentral:rRNA from 1 species
GCUGGCGGCAGGCCUAACACAUGCAAGUCGAGCGGUAGCACAGAGAAGCUUGCUUCUUGGGUGACGAGCGGCGGACGGGUGAGUAACGCGUAGGAAUCUACCUAAUGGUGGGGGAUAGCCCAGGGAAACUUGGAUUAAUACCGCAUAAGUCCUAAGGGAGAAAGCGGGGGAUCUUCGGACCUCGUGCCAUUAGAUGAGCCUGCGUAAGAUUAGCUAGUUGGUGAGGUAAGGGCUCACCAAGGCGACGAUCUUUAGCUGGUCUGAGAGGAUGAUCAGCCACACUGGGACUGAGACACGGCCCAGACUCCUACGGGAGGCAGCAGUGGGGAAUAUUGGACAAUGGGGGCAACCCUGAUCCAGCCAUGCCGCGUGUGUGAAGAAGGCCUUCGGGUUGUAAAGCACUUUCAGAUGUGAGGAAAGGUUGCAGAUUAAUACUCUGCAGCUGUGACGUUAACAUCAGAAGAAGGACCGGCUAACUCCGUGCCAGCAGCCGCGGUAAUACGGAGGGUCCGAGCGUUAAUCGGAAUUACUGGGCGUAAAGCGCGCGUAGGUGGUUUCGUCAGUCAGAUGUGAAAGCCCAGGGCUCAACCUUGGAAUUGCACCUGAUACUGCGGGACUAGAGUACGAUAGA